rnacentral:lncRNA from 1 species
AGCCAACCAAGGCAACAUAAGCCACAAACAGAGUAGCCUCGCAACAUGUGCUACUUCUAGUUGAGCAUCAUUUCAGUUUGGGCACCGCCGCAUAUCAAGUAUCAGUUCUAGAUGACAUCUAGUUACUUCGGACCACACAUAGACUGAAUUUCAAGUCUCCAGCCAAAAGAAUCUCUUGACUGAAGACUUAGAGGACUACUAUUUGUACCAUACUUAGGGCCUCCAUAUUUAGACCUCAUAUAAAUACUCGGGGGACUCAAAUGUAAUUAUGUAAUAAAUGGAGGGGCAAAUAUGUAAUAAGUGAGGAACCCUUAUUCUAUAAAAGGGCCUCAUAACCCUCACAAACCUCAAGCUCAUCCUCACAUACAAAAGCUCUCUCCCUCACAAUCCUCUCAGAGAAAUACAAUAUCAGUGUGGACGUAGCCCAAACAUUGGGGUGAACCAUAAUACAUAUUGUGUUAUUUACUUUCUUGCAGAUUCAUGGUCGGAUUUAUGUUGUUCCAAGACCCCUCCGGUUUUGUGCAUCAACAUUAGUUAAUGUGAUUGAUUAAGGAAAAGGUGAUUAUGAACCAAAAACCUUAAUAAUUGAGCUAUGUGAUUGGCCACUUUACAUUAUGAAUGUUUGGGUUAAGUAGUUUAGAUUUGAAUGUAAUUUGAUUAGUUCAAAUGUGUUGUAAAAGGGCAUAAGUCUUUCAAAUGUGUUGUAAAAGGGCAUAAGCCCUUCUCUUUAUUUUAAGUAUUCCAUUUUGUUUAGUUGUAUGCAAAUGGAAUAGUUGGGUCCAACGCCCAAUAGGAAAUGACGGUUUAAUUAGAUUAAACACGUAACUAAAAUAACCAACUACCUACCUUAGACCCAAGGUCUAACACAAGGCUCGUGUUUGAUCAAAUCAAACGGUUCAUAAUCAUCCUAAGACCUAAGAUGACUAUAUAGUCCAUAUGAGGAUGCUACGCAUUCGUUAGUAGUUCCAUAUAGUCUUGCUUAUUUCAUCGAAAUAGUGGGAGUAUUAUAUACUACUAAUUCAUAUAAACUUGGACCAAUGGUUGUGAUAGGUCCAAGUCCUUUUAUUAAGAUUAAAAUGAAAUUGAUGUAGCCCGCACUACUCCCUCAACAAAACGAAUAUUAAGUUGAUAAGCGAGAGAUGCUUUGAACAUCUCUUCAUAGGCCUUACACCAUGGUGGGCUCCAAUCGUUUGUGACUCAAACACCAGCUUCACUCUAUCAUGGGGAAGUUCAAAGUAUGUGCCUACCUUCAGGAGGAGUCCAUAUGUACAUACAUGAUGUGGUAAGGUAGGCAACGAGGAUGGCCAACAUCAUAUCAUUGUGAGGCUAUUCUUGAACCCCUACACGAACUAGCAUGGUGGGAAAGACCUAACUAAGUGCAAUGGUGUCAACAUCAUAUCAUUGUGAGGCAUCAUUCUUUAGAGGCCAAACUAGAUGGGUAAUUACAAGAGUUAUAAAUGACUAAAGCGUUAUUCUCUCAUCAUUGUUGUUGCUAACCAACAUCAUAUCAUUGUGAGGUGGGCUUGGUAAUGGUGAGCCUCCCAUACCCCGCUAAGAGUUCAACAUAACUCUUGGAUUCCAUUGAGGGAUGUGGAAUUUGCCAAAAAUAGUGGGUGGUACUAUUUGAUUUAAGACCCAAUCAAGUAGUUUUAAAAUCAACAAUCUAAUACGAUUUCUGUUAUGUUAUGUAGUUAACGACAUGCCUAAACUUACACCUACCAUUAUACUUGACCAAAAGGGCCUUAGGGACCAACGUUUCCUUGCUUGGUAUCAUCACAUUGAGAAUGGCUCAAAGAUGCAUGACAUAUCGUAUAUGCUCAAGCAAUCCCCUCCUCAUGUACCUCCUACAAAAUUAGCUUCAAAGGAGGAGUAUCAAAAUUAUUUUAGACAUUUUGAGGAUGACUUACAAGCCAAAUGUUUAAUCCUCGCUUCACUUAGUGAGCAGCUUAAGAAGCUACAUGAGCAAAUGGAUACUUCUUGUGCCAUGGUUGAUAGUUUGCAUAAGAUGCAUGUCAUUGAGACAAGUAACGUACGAUUCUCAAAUGUUUGUAGUCUAUUGAAUGCCAAAAUGACAAAGAGGACAUCGGUCCAAAAAUAUGGAUAAAAGAUGGAAAGGAACUUCCAUCGAUGGGAAAAUGGCCCAAGACUUUUUCCUUGCAUCUCUCUCAAAUGAUUUCACUAAGUUUAUAGUAAACUAUAAAGUGAAUAGAUUCGAUCAUACUUUUACUGAGAUGAUUGACAUGUGUUGUAAGUUUGAACAAAGUUUCAAAAAGGACAGUGGGAGUGAGAAUGCAAUCACAAGGAAAAUGUUGCAUAAGAAGGCGGCAAGAAAAUCCAAAGGAACAUGCUUUCAUUGUGGAAAGGAUGAACGUUGGAAAAAGAAAUACAGGGUGCACAUUGCUAGCCUUAUGACAUGAGCUUUUGAAGUGACUAUUUCUGUCAUAGAGAGUGUUUUUAUAGUAAGCUCCAAUUCCUGGAUAUUUGAUUCAGGCGCUAGUCAACAUAUCCACAAUUCAUUGCAAAGACUAACAAAGAGCAGAACACUGCGUAAUGAGGAGAUGAUUGUGCGAGUUGGGAACGACACUAAGAACUCUGCAAAAGCAGUAGGCACUUGCAUGCUUAAACUACCCUCUAGGGAAGUCUUGGAACUUAAAAAUGGUUUAUAUUUUCCUUUAUGCAUAAAUAAUUUGAUUUCCAUCUCUAUGCUUUUACGAGGUGGGCACUCAGUAUUGUUUGACAAAAUGAGUUGCACUUUAUACUUGAACGGUCGUAUUAUAUUUCAUGGUAAUAUGAUAGAGUGGCUUUUUCACCUAGAGACAAGUAGUGGAAUGCACUGUAUAUAAAGCGGGAAUACCUCAAAACCCAAAAGGGCUAGAGAAGAAGUUAACCAAGAAAAGAUGUGGCAUCUUAAACUUGGACAUGUGAACCUUGAUAAUAUUUGCAAGAUGUCGAAAGACGGAUAUUUCAACCCAUUAGGUAAUGACCAAAUGGGUUUCUGUGAAUGUUGCUUGAAAGGGAAGAUGACCAAAUCUCCAUUCACUGGGAAGGGAGAGUGUGCCACUGAAACUCUAGGGUUAAUCCACACUGGCCUAUGUGGACCUAUGUCUACUACGUCAAGAUGAGGCUUCUCCUACUAUAUCACAUUCACCGAUGAUCACUCUCAAUUUGGCUAUAUGUAUCUUAGGAAGUGCAAGUCAAAAUCAUUUGAAAAGUUCAAAGAAUUCAAGAAUGAAGUUGAAAAGCAAACUGGGAAGUAGAUAAAGAUCCUAAGAUCAGAUCGAGGGGGAGAGUAUUUAAGUAAUGAGUUCCUAGAUUAUCUCAAAGAGUGUGGAAUACUAUCACAGUGGGCUCUACCAAGAACUCCAUAACUUAAUGGAGUUUCUGAAAGGAGAAAUCGAACCUUGAUGAACAUGGUACGUUCUAUGAUGAGUUCCGCUGAUCUACCAGUAACAUUAUGGGGAUACGCUCUAUAUACAGUAGCUUACUUACUUAAUAGAGUACCUUCCUAGUCAGUUUCAUAGACACAUAUGAGAUAUGGCAUAGGCGAAAGCCAAGUCUUAAUCAUAUUAAGAUUUGGGGUUCUGAAGCUUAUGUCAAGAAGCUUGAAGCGAGAUCGGUUAGGUGCUAUUUUGUGGGAUAUCCUAGAAAAACUAUGGGAUAUGAGUUUUACCAUCCUGACGACCAGAAAGUCUUUGUCGCCAGAAUUGCUAAGUUUCUAGAGGACUAAUUUUUUCUCAAAAGAACUACAAGUACAACGAUGGAAAUUAAUGAGAUUAAUGAUGAACCAUAAAUAAGCACUCGACAAGUUGACAACCCCAUUCCUGAACCCCUAGCUCCACGUAGAUUUGAACGGGUCAGCAAGCCACCUAAGAGGUAUGGCUUAGAUAAUGACUUUAGGGAAUUGCACCUUCUAGGUGACAAUGAUACAUAUAAGGACCCUAGAGACUACACUGAAGCAAUGUCCGACAUUGAUUCAAAGAGAUGGCAAGAGGCCAUGAAAUCCGAGAUGGAUUCCAUGUAUCAAAAUCAAGUCUAGACUCUUGUAGACCCUCCAGAAGGUAUAGUACCUGUUGGAAACAAAUGGCUUUUCAAGAGGAAAAUAUGCGCUGAUGGGAACAUGGAGACUUAUAAGGCUAGACUAGUAGCCAAGGGUUGCAUGCAACGAGAAGGGAUUGACUAUGAAGAAACAUUCUUUCUUGUAGCCAUGAUUAAGUCCAUUCGGAUUUUGCUUGCUAUAGUUGCAUACCAUGACUAUAAGAUAUGGAAAAUGGACAUGAAGACGGCCUUUCUGAAUGGCUACCCAGAGGAAGAGCUUUAUAUGACUCAACCCGAAGGUUUUGUGUCCAAGUCUGAAAAGACUAAGGUAUGCAAGCUUCAGAGGUUCAUUUUGAUACUAAAAUCAAAUCAUUUGGUUUUACUUAAAACGAAAACGACAAUUGUGUUUAUCAAAAGGUUGUUGGGGAUGCAGUUGUAUUCCUAGUGUUAUAUGUAGAUGAUAUAUUACUAUUUGGGAAUGACACUGCGGUACUUUCUUCUGUAAAAGUGUGGUUGUCCAAAACCUUCCACAUGAAAGAUUUGGGAGAUGCAUCUUAUGUUCUUGGGAUAAAGCUCUAUCAUGAUAGAUCUAGAAAAUUGAUUGGAUUAUCCCAAUCUAUGUACAUAGAUAAGGUGCUAAGUUGGUUCCAGAUGGAACAAUCUAAGAAAGGUUUUCUUCCUGUGAGACAUGGAAUUCACCUUUCUAAAUCCAUGAGACCUAAGACUCCUAAAGAAUACGACAGAUGAGUGUUAUUGCUUAUGUUUCUGCCAUAGGAAGUCUCAUGUAUGCCAUGAUAUGCACAAGGCCUGAUAUUGCAUAUAUUGUGAGCAUUACUAGUCGAUAUCAAUCUAACCUAUGAUUAGAACACUGGGCAGUUGUCAAGACGGUCCUUAAGUACUUAAGAAGAACUAAGGACAUGUUCCUCGUUUAUAGAGGAGCAACAAAAUUGCGAGUGGAAGCCUAUACAGAUGUAGAUUUCCAAUCUAACGUCGAUGAUAGAAGUUCCAACUCCAGGAAUAUGUUCACUCUGAAUGGUGGGGCUGUCAGCUGGAAAAGCAAGAAACAAUAUGUAAUUGCUGAUUCUAUAACGGAGGCAGAAUAUGUUGCUACAACUGAAGCCGGCAAAGAAUCAUUUUGGAUGAAUAAGUUCAUUACUGAACUUCGAGAAGUUCCAACCAUUACAUCCCCAGUAACUUUAUACUGUGAUAAUAAUGAGGCGAUAGCUCAAGCCAAGGAACCUAGGGCUCAUCAAAAGAACAAGCAUUUUGACAGACACUUUGAUAUCAUUAGAAGAUAUGAUGUCGAAGGGAAAGUCAACAUCUUCAAGGUUGCCUCAGCUAAUAAUAUAUCAGAUCCACUAACGAAGCCAAUGUCUCAAAUCUAACUUGAUUGCCAUAUGGAAAAGAUGGGUAUUAGAUACAUGUGAAGGUGGCUUUGAGUGUAAGUGGGAGAUUGUUGGAAGUAUUCCCACAAAACCACUCAUUUGAUGUAAUAGCUUUUGGAAUACUUAUUGUGUUAAACUAUUAUAUGUUUAAGGAAGGGCAAAGCUUAUUGUGAAUCACUAUUUAUUAUAUUAUGUGUUUAAGCAAUAAAGGAAUCCAAGGAAUGUAUUUAAUCUACGAGAGAAGUGAUCUAAGUAAGUUAGAUUAACGAGACCAUUCUCUUAUGUUCAUUCCUAAAAAGUUCCUAGCCAUAGGAUUGCCAAUUGGGCAUUGACAAUCCACUAAGGUUAGUAUGUGUCAUGUUAACUCAAGCGUGAGUAUGACUAGUCUCAAGUCAUUUAGUGUUGGACACUGAGACAAACACAUAGGUGAUCAAAAGGUAAUUGAGUACAAUAAACAACGAUCAAAAGAGAGUUUGAAUAUACAUGUCAUGUAAGAACUCGUAAGUUGCAAUAUGCAAAGUAGUCAUUUGACCUGAGGCAUCAUAAAUGUCUAAUGGUUAGGUCUUUGAUCUUUGAUCAUGUCAAAGGCAUUCCAUCUAGAGUGUCCACGACAUUGUUGGGGUCAAGCAAUCUAGUCAUGUACGCAUAUGAAUGCACAACAAGGGAUCUCUAACCUUCCAUGGUGGAGGGAAAAUUCUAUGAGAUAUGAUUCGAGAGUCUUUGGCCAAAGCAUACGAAUAUGACUUAGGAAGUUUGUUCCAAAUCACAUUCAAUUGAAUCAUAUAGAGAAUUAUCAUAUUUGAUAGUAGACAUGAAACAAACUAUCACUCAAACACUGUGAUUAAGAGUAUUGUAUUAUAGAACGACCGUAUUGCAUUGUAAUUGUAAUUGGAUCGGUUCUCCAACUACUUCUACUUAGCUUGGGUAGCCAUGACAUACUGCUAGGUGUCACUCAUGGUUUGUGGAAGCUCUGAAGAUUAGCAAACACUAUCUUCAUCAAAGGGAGAAUUGAAAUGUAGUUUCAAUUCACAAUCGAUCGUUAAGAGUAACAAUUGCCCACUGCCUUGCUAAUUGGAACCUAAUGGAUCGUACACCAAGUAAGGAUGAAAGUGAAGAAAUAUAAAUGAGAUGGAUAAGCAAUUAAAUGGUUUAAUUGAGAAUGGUCAAGAUUAAUUAAUUAGCUAAUUAAUUAUACGAAAGGUUUGUAUUGGGCUUUUAAGUUAGUUUCAGGUUUCGAGGCCCAAAAGGGUUUUUGGUCCAUAAGGCCCAUUGAGUUUAUGUUGUGUGACAACUAAAACUAAAUGGGAAAAUAGCCCAAAAACAAAGCUAAAACCGGCCACUUAGGGAGAGUGAGUUGAUUGACUUAUUACAAGUUUGCCACUCACUUGUGAGAUGGUAUAAAGGCAACUUUAUAGCAAUUCCUUUAUUAGGGUUUUCUUGAGGCAAAGAAGAGAAACCUUUUCUCUCUUUUUUCUCUAUAGAGGCCGGGCACUUAGGGGAAGGAUAGCUAGUAAUCUUUCUUCCUCUAAGUCAUCCAUUUCAUAUUCACAGCUCAUCCUUGGUGUGGAGACUUAGUGACACCAAACCUUUGGUGUUCUGGGAGAUCCUUUCCUCACACCCUCACUAAGCAAAGGAGUAUCAAAAGGAAGAAAAUUAGAAGGAAGAUCAAAGGAGCUAGGAGGUGACUUGAAGGCCCUUCACUUGGGUGAAUCCUUUGUGUAACAAGGAUGAACUUAAGUACAAUGGUGCCAAUAUGACAUUCUUCUGAGGCAUCAUUCUCUAGAGGCCAAAUAAGAUGGGUACUUACAUGAGAUGUAAAUGAGUAAGUGUACUCUCUCAUUAUUAUUAAAGUUAGCCAAUAUGAUAUUCUUCUGAGGUAGGCCGGUAAUAGUGGGUACUUACAUGAGAUGUAAAUGAGUAAGUGUACUCUCUCAUUAUUAUUAAAGCUAGCCAAUAUGAUAUUCUUCUGAGGUGGGCCGGUAAUAGUGAGUCUCAUAUUCCCUACUAAAAGUUUUCUCCAAGACUCUUGAAUUGCUCUUGAGGGAUAUGGAAUUUUUCAAAAUAAUGGGUAGUGCCAUUUGAUUUAAAGAACCAGAUCAAAUGGCUUGAAAUCAAUCAAUUUAUGUUCAUUAUGUAUUGUUUAUGUUGAGUGCAUAAAGUUAUACUUUUACGCCCUCUUUUACUUAGGUUUUUCACUUAAAAUCUCUAUGCAUCACAAUGUAUUUUGUUGUUUAUAUUGUACUUCAAGAUGGAAGUAAGGGCUUGAAGAAAUCAUCUUAUUUUGAAUAUCUUAAGAGCCUAGAAUGGAUAGUUUGAAGCCUAACUCGCCCAAGACCAGACCAUAGCCCACAAGUUGCCCAGGAUCUGCCAGAAAAAACCCUUGCAGAACAACCAAGGUGCAAGCUUUGUUCCGAAGUUCUCAUAACGAAUUAGAAAAUGGGCUAUAUAUGGUUGGAAAGCUCUAGAAGUCUUCUUUCUGAUGGUUUUUAUAGCUUGUGAUUCGGAGGUUUUGACAAGAAAUUUUGACAGAAUAAAGAGGAGCUGUUCAGCUACAAAUUCUGAUAACAUAUAGUUUUCAGUUACUCCUAUACUAAAAGCUGAUUGUAAUGAGCUAUAAAUGAGAGUCAAUUCAAGGAUGUAAAUGCGUCAGAUGUUGGAUAAGUCCGAAGCCUUUUAAUAGGAGAAAAAAAUAGAAAAACACAAAAUCUGGAAAGAGAGCAGGAAUCUUCAACCUUGAGCAGUUUCUAGGUUCUAGCUUUCCUGAAUUUUUAUGUAUUUUGUUUUUAUGGAUACUUAGGGUUGCUUUGAAGCCCUAGACAUGAUUGAAUUAAUGUUAUGAUGCAGUUUUAGUUUAUCAAUUUCAUUUGCAAGCUAGAAUCAGUUUUCUGUUUCAAUCAUUUCAAGCACAUAUUUUCAAGCUUAGCUACCUUGUUUAUGUUUGCUUUCUGUUGAGAAUGAUAAGGAUGAUUGCCAUAUCUUCUUUCAUUUAUUAGCAACAUGUGGUUAGGUUCAGAACUAAUCAUGUAAAUUGAUUCCAUGAAGUUCUAGGAUAAAUGCCUGUUGGAAAUGUGCCCUAAAACCAAUCAUAUGAUGAUACUUUACGGACAUUUCACAUGUUAAACUAAUCUAGUUUAAUAUCAAGGGCAAAGAUUAUUGUUUGAGCCGUCUCAUAUAAAUGUUAUAUGCUUAAACGAUAAGUCCAAGGAAUAUGUGAUUGGGAGAAUGCGAUCUAAAGAAGUUAGAUUCAUGAGACCAUUCUUUCGUAGACACAUCCUAAACGUUCCUGAUCAUAGGAUUGCCAAUUGGGCAUUGACAGUCCGUUAAGAUCAGUACGUGCUGUGUCUUCUCUCAGGGAGAGUGAUUAGUCUCGAGUCAUUGGUGUGUGUGACAUCAAGACAAGUACGUAGGUGCUCAAUAGAGAAUGAGUUCACUGAACACGAUCAACGAAGAGUUCUCAUAUUCAUGUCACAUGAGAACUCAUGGUUGGGAUAAUGCAAAGUAGUCCUUUGACCUGAGGCAUCACGUUUGUCUUGUGGUUAAGUCCUUGAUCUUUAAUUAUGUCAAAGUCACCCCAUCUGCGGGUGUCCACGGCAUCGUUGGGGUUAAGCCACUUAGCUAUGGAGGCAAGUGAAUGCGCAACAAGGGAUCUCUAACCUUCAAACCAUUUGAGGGAGAAUACUCUAUGAUAUGAUUAAGAAUCUCUGGCCAGAGUAUGAAUGAGAUUUAGGAAAAGUCGUUCCAAAUCACAUUCAAGGUAAUCAUAUAAGCACACGAAUCACAUUGGAUAGUAGACAUGAAUAAACUAUCAAACCAAACAAUGUGGUCAAGAGUAUUGUAUUAGAGAAAGACCGUAUUGCAUUUGUAAUCCUAAACUGAAUAGGUUCUCUACCUCUUCUGAUUAGCUUGGGUAACCAUCAUAUGCUGCUAGGUGUCACUCUUGGUUUGUGGAAGCCCUAAACGUGUGUAAUCACUAAAGGGAGAAUUGAAAGUAAGUUUCAAUUCACAAUCGAUUUGAAAGAGUUUGAAUCGCCCACUGCCUCGGUAAAAGGAACCUAAUGGAUCGUACACCGUGUAAGGUGGAGAUUGAAGAAACAAUGGAGAUGAGUAAGAAUAAUUAAAUGGUUUAAUUAUUUAUGGCAAGGAUUAAUUAAUAUGUUAAUUAAUCAAACGAAUAAGUUCGUUAAAAGACCACGGGUUAGUUUAGGGCCUCAAGGCCCAAUAGGCUUCGAACGUCAAGCCCAUUGACUUAAGUUGUAUGACAACUUGAUGACAAAUAAUUCACAAAGGCCUUAAAAGCCCAAUGAAACCCUAUGGCCGGCCAUUUAGUUAAAGGAGUGGGUUUUGGACUUAUUUACAAGUUUGCCACUCCAAUGAAUUAAGGUAUAAAUAUGACUUUAUAGCCAAAAUUCAUUUAGGGUUUUCUUUUAGGAAAUUGGAGAGAACACAAUGCUCUCCUUUCUCUCUAAAGAGGCCGGCCCCCUUGGAGGGUGUAUCUAGCAAUCCCACUACUCCAAGGUCACUCAUUUCUUCAUCAAUCUUACCUUGGUGUGGAUACUUAGAGGUUCUCAAUUUUGGAAACUUGGAGAACCAUAUUCUUCCAUCCAAAUCCAUAGAUUUUAGAUGCAAGGAAUGAAGGCCCUCUCUUUGGGUGAUUAGCCUUUGCUUAUGCAAAGAGGAAUCUACAAAGGUAUAUAUUUCUCAACUCACUUUGAUUUGAGUUGAGUCUUGGUUCACCAAUCUACUAGGCUUUGAAUUUCAUGGGUAAUGUUUUGUUUUUGAGUGCAUGCAAGCAUGAUUCCACCUUUAAUUGUUAAUUGCAUGCUAUAUGAUGUUGCUCAAAUGAACAUGUUUUCACAAAAUCAUCCUUCAAUGCCAUGUUCUAGGUUCAUGUGAUGUUCAUAAUCCUCUUCAUUCUUAAUGAGUUUCUAGGUGCUAAAUCUGAGUAUAUGCCAUGCUAGGUUGCACCUACAAAUAUAAGUUCUAUGUAUAUGUCAUGCAUCUAACAUGCAAAGUAAGAGAGGAUUCAUACAAUCUAGUUAUAUGCUAUGCUAGAUAUGUGAACAUCUUAGUUGUGCAUUUGAAAGGGAUAAGUUAAAAGAUCAUAUCAUUGAUUCAUGAAUGUUUAAGGGAAGGCCUUUGUUCAUUUGAAGUCAGAUUUAUGUCCUAAAAACGUUUCUACCUAUUCCAUGUCUUAGGUUUGUUUUUAGAUAGUUCUAAUUUUUCCCUUUUCUUUUUGUCUUUAUUUCUUUUCCAAAAUUACUCAAACCCCCUAUUUUAGUCAUAGGACUCUUUAACUAAUGCUAAUUUGUAAGAGUCAAAGGUUUUACUAAGUUGUUUCUCAGUCCUUAUGGUUCAACACCCUUACUUGUGCCGCUAUACUAUCCUUAUAUUUUCACUCGAAAAGAACUUCAACAGUUUAUUGAUAUAUGCAAAACGCUAUCCAAAACUUGACAAUGAAAAGUCGAAGGCUUUAGUUUCCAUACUUGGUGCCACAAUCUCAUAGAUUGUCUUGAAUGGAUUGUAUAUGUACCUAAGUAGUCUCAUCCUCACAAUAAUCCUAUUGAUAAUGUAUCAUUGGAAGAACAAGUUAGAUAUGUCUAUCAUAAAGAGGAUAACACAAACAACAUGUGCUUCUUCCUUUGUUGAAUGAACAAAGGAACUAAAGAAGAUUAGCACAAAGACAUGGACACUUUAAGUGCCAUAAUUCUUCACUUACCAAUCGUUGUAAGAAGAAAUAAGAGUUUCUUUGAACAACCCUUAGUUAACACAAACACUAGUGCUUGUUUCUUUGUUAAAUGAACAAGGAACUUGAGAAGUAAGUACAAGGGCAUGGACACUUUAUGUGCCAUGAUUCUUCACUUACAAAUUGUUGCAUGAAGAAAUGAGAGUUGUCUUGAACAACUCUUGAAAGUUUGUAAUCUUGUUCAGAACAAGAUGGUUGUUUGACAAAAAUGGUCCAUCAAUACAACGAAUGAUGAUUUAAAAUCAUAUGAACUUAUGAUUUUUUUGAAUCAUUGAGUGUUGAAGUGUUAAACCAUUUCACUAGAUAGAAACUAGGUUAGGACUUCACCAUUGUGUGCUUAUCCUAAUGAUUUGCAAAGUUUAUUGUAAACUAUAUAGUGAACCAUUACCACACACUCUCCACAUCGUCUGCUGUGUGUAAUACAUUUGAAAUAAGUUUCAAGACAUAGUAGGAGCUUAGGGACCAUGACUAUUGCAGUCAUAAAAGAAGUCAAAUGAAGAAGGAAAAAUAACUCCAAGGGAACAAACUUUCUUUAUGAAAGGAUGGAUAUUGGAAGGGGUAAGAUGCAAGAAAUGUCUUGCAAGUGUCAAGAACACACUUUUUGAAGGUGUUGUAAAUUAUUCUUGAAAUAGUCAAAGCAAUUGGUUCUUCUACUUGAAUGUUUGAUUCUAUACUAGUAACUAUGUUUGCAAUCAUUGUAAAAGAGUGAUUAGUAAGAAGUACAAGAUUAGUGAGAGAAAAGAAAGUACUUCUCAUUUAGAUCGUGAAUAAAGAUAUAGAUCUUUGUGAAAGUAGUUAUUACUUACUUCCUCAUUCGAACUACCAAAGAAAUUGGAAAAACAAAGAUUGCCUUUACACUCCAAUUUGAAUAAGGAACUUAAUUCCAUCACUAUAGUUUUAAGAGACGGAUGAAUUGUUUUGUUUGACAAAAUAUUGUUCUUUAUUAGUAAAUAUUUGGAUUAUUGUAAUCCGAUUGAUUGUCUCUACAUCAUAGAGAUGAUGCGGUAGUGCUAACUAUUUAGAAUAUAAUGAUGCUUAAAACCCAAAAGGUUACAAGGUAGUGACUAACCCUACUGAAUUGUGACACCAUGAAAACAUAAAUUACAAGUUGGUCAUAGAUGGAUGCUUUGGAUCGUUAGAUCCGGACCCAAUGCCUUCUUAUUAAACUUGUAUAAAGGUGAAAUGUUUGAAUCUUUAUUCUUUUGGAAAGAAGAAAUAGUCACAAAGUUGUUAAGGUUAAUUCACUUAGAUGUUAAUGCCAUUUGUCCAUAAAAUAAUACUACUCAUGUCGUAUGACAUUCACCGAAGAUCACUCUCCAUUGGGAGAAUAAUGAACUCUAAUUAGAUGUGGUUCAUUAAAUAUUAUCAAAUUACCCAUAUAUAGGAUACACUUCCAAGAAAUAUAUGAUUGUCAAUUAGAAUGUCUUCCAAAAUGUUUCAUAACUCCAUAAGAUGUAGUUUGAAAGAAAGAUAAGUCUUAAUCAAGUUAAGAUUUGGGGUUGUCAUGCAUAUGUCAAUUGACUUAAUGCAUGUGUGCUAAAGAGCAAUGUUUGUAUAAGUAUAAUCCUAAGAUAAAGCAAAUGAACGAGAGAUAUAACUCAAGGAAUGGGUUCUUUUAGAGACAAGAUAAUACUUAGCAGACGUAAUAGCGUAGUUCUUACACCAUGAGCUCUAAGAUAGUCGAAGAAGAAUCUAUGAACCAUCUAAGUUGAAUGGUUUGAACUUUAUGACUACGUCAUAGAUGUGGGACCAUGAUUUUCGAAGGCCAGAGUAAGGCUGAUCUGAAUAUAGUUACCUCAAGAGUCUGGUCAUGCACUCACCAGCUCUAGAGUUGUAUUAGAUGGAGUAACGGUGCCACCAUCACUCUACUCUGGUGCACUAGGCGGAGUUCUGGCGACUUUGUUGGAUAACCAUGCUUGUUCCACAAGACGUGCGAUCUGAUCCUAAUAUGGAUGAGAUUUAGAAAGUUAUUCCAAAUCACAUUCAAGGUAAUCAUAUAAAUAAGAGAAUCACAUUGGGUAGUAGACAUGAACAACCUAUGAAACAAAACAAUGUGAUUAAGUGUAUUGUAUUAGAGAAAUACUGUAUUGCAUUUGUAAUCCCAAACUGAAUAAGUUCUCCAACCUCUUCUGAUUAGCUUGGGUAGCCAUGACGUACUGCUAGGUGUCACUUAUGGUUUGUGGAAGCCCUAAAGAUGUAUACUCACUAAAGGGAGAAUUGAAAGUUAGUUUCAAUUCACAAUCGAUUACUAAGAGUUCUACUCGCACACUGCCUCGCUAAAAGGAACCUUAUGGAUUGCACACCGUGUAAGGUAAUAAUUGAAGGAUAUAACAAAGAUGAGUAAAGACAAAUAAAUAGUUUAAUUGGAUAGGGCAAGGAUUAAUUACAAGUUAAUUAAUUAAGAGCGAAAGAUUCGUUUUAGACCUUAAGUUAGUAUUUGAUUUCGGGACCCAAAUGAGUUUGAUAGGAGCAUAUUUAUGCGACUUAGUUAGCUUGUUUCUUGGCAUUUAUUUACUUAGUUUCUACUUAUUAUAGUGAUUUAAGCUAUUUUCGUGUGUUUGUAGGUUCAAAUGACAAAAUUGGCAAGAAAAUGCAUUUUGGUGCAGUUUUGGGCUGAAUUGGAGUGCAUGCAUGUGGAGCAAGUUGGAUGGACUUUUUUGGUUCUUAAAUAAGGCUAGGAACAUGCAGCAAAUCUGGAGAAACAAAUGCAAGUUGCAAGAAUGGUUGGUGCACUCAUGAUAGGAGCAUAUUUAUGCAACUUACUUGGCUUGUUCUCAUGCAUUUACGUUGUGUUUCCUUAGUUAUUUUAGUGUUUAAAGUCACUUUUGUGUGUUUUCAGAUUCCAAAGCUAAAGUGUGCAAAAUGAUGUAAUUUGGAGCCUUUUGGAGCAAAAGGAAUGGAUGAAUUGAAGACUUGAAGAAAUUAGGAUUCCUAAUCGACGAAGGAUUCCUAAUUGACGAAGGAUUCCUAAUCGAAGAUGGAUUCCUAAUCACAUGAGGAUUCCUAGAAGAACAAGGAUUCCUACUCCAACAAGGAUUCCUACUUGAAGUAGGAAAGUUAAGCCAAAGUUUCCUAUUUUGGUUUAACCUUUCCUAAGUCUAAAAGCAUUUAUGUUCCAGCCACUUUGAAGACCUCAUACACACUAUAGGACAUAAAAAAAAGAUUCCUUGCACCACCAAGGUAGUGCCGCACCUUACAUACCCUUUCCUUGCCGUGAGUCCCCUUUUCCUUUCUUUUUAGGACACUAUCCCUUUCCCAAACAUCCAGCCGCACCACCCUUGCCUUUCCUCUUCCUUGCCGUGCAAGGGAGAGGGUCCUUUCCUGUUUCUUUGCAAUUAAAACACUUUCCCCUUUGGUUUUAAACCCUAGCCGCACCUCUUAGCCUAAUUCCCUUUAGUUUUCUGAUUCUAUUUACUAUUUAGAUAAGUUUUAGACUUAAUUUCUGUUUACCAAAAUAGCCUAGGGUUUUUAAUUUCCUAAUCCCUUUAAAUAAACAUCCUUGUGUAGCCACAAACACCCCCAUUCAUCCAUAGACUGCCAUUCACGCCAGAACACAUUCCAUACACUUAGCCGCACCAUUCUACCACCAUUCACCCUAGUUUCUACCUAAAAACAUCCCUAGCCGCCCCAUACACUCACCCUACACCCCUUGCCGUGCCUCUACACCCCCCAAAAUCCAUUCUACAUCAUCAAAACAGCCCAGGAACCACCAACAUCCAAUCUGCCGCAAGCAAGGAAAAGGGACAGUUUCACUCAAUUGUUUGGCUCUUCAUUCUGAGUUGUUGAACAAUUUUAGGUGUAUUCUAUCUUAUAUUUCAAUGUCUAAUUCAUUUAAUCUUUGUUUUGCUUUAAGUAUGAUUGGCUAAUUUUGUUUUGGCUAAGGGUGUAUUCAAAACCAUGAUUAUAUAUGUGAAAUAAGUUGAUUACUUCCAGUUAUCGUUGCAUAAGUCGUGAAUACAAUUUGCUUAACCGUUUGAUUUAGAACUUGUUCUUGUAUGUUGAUUGAGAGUGCACGCUGUUGGAAGUAUGCCCACAAAGCCACUCAUUUGAUGUAAUAGCUUUUUGGAAUACUUAUUGUGUUAAACUUUUAUAUGUUUAAUGGAGGGCAAAUCUUAUUGUUAAUCACUAUUUAUUGUAUCAUGUGUUUAAGCAAUAAGGGAAUCCAAGGAAUGUAUUUGUUCUAAGAGAUAAGUGAUCUAAUGAGUUAGAUUAUCGAGACCUUUCUCUUAUGUUCAUUCCUAAAAUGUUCCUAGCCAUAGGAUUGCUAAUUGGGUAUUGACAAUCCGCUAAGGCUAGUAUGUGUUAUGUUGACUCAAUCGUGAGUAUAACUAGUCUCAAGUCAUUUGGUGUUGAACACUAAGACAAACACAUAGGUGCUCGAAAGAGUACUCGAGUACACUGAACUACGAUCAAAAGAGAGUUCGGACAUACAUGUCAUGUAUGAACUCUAAGGUUGCAAUAUGCAAAGUAGUCCUUUGACCUGAGGCAUCAUCGAUGUCUAAUGGUUAGGUCCUUGAUCUUUGAUCAUGUCAACGGCAUUCCUUUGGAGUGUCCACGGCAUUGUUGGGGUCAAGCUAUCUAGUCAUGUAGGCAUAUGAAUGUACAACAAGGGAUCUCUAACCUUCCAUGGUGGAGGGAGAAUACUCUAAGAUAUGAUUCUAAAGUCUUUGGCCAAAGCAAAUGAAUAUGACUUAGGAAGUUUGUUCCAAAUCAUAUUCAAGGGAAUCAUAUAGGAAAGUAUCACAUUGGAUAGUAGACAUGAAACAAACUAUCACUUAAACAAUGUGAUUAAGAGUAUUGUAUUAGAGCAGAACCGUAUUGCAUUGUAGUUGUAACUGGAUAGGUUCUCCAACCAAUUCUACUUAGCUUGGGUAACCAUGAUAUGCUGCUAGGCGUCACUCAUGGUUUGUGGAAGCCCUAAUGGUUAGCAAACACUAAUCAACAAAAAGGGAGAAUUGAAAUGUGGUUUCAAUUCACAAUCGAUCGUUAAGAGUAACAUCGCCCACUGCCUCGCUAAUUGGAACCUAAUGGAUCGUACACCGAGUAAGGAUGUAUGUGAAGAAAUCAAAUGAAAUGGAUAAGCAAUUAAAUGGUUUAAUUGAAGAAUGGUCAAGAUUAAUUAAUUAGUUAAUUAAUUAUACGAAAGGUUCGUAUUGGGCUUAUAUGUUGGUUUUGGGUUUCGGGGCCCAAAAGCGUUUUGGUCCAAAAGGCCCAUUAUGUUUAAGUUGUAUGACAACUAAAACAAAAUGGGCAAAUUAGCCCAAUAACAAAGGAUGGCCGGCCAUUAGGGUGGAUGGGCAAAAGUUUGCUUAAUUACAAGUUUGCCACUCACCAAAGAAAAGGUUAUAAAAGCAACUUUAUAGCUAUUUUCUCAUUAGGGUUUUUCUUGUUGAAAUUGGGUGAAACAUUUUCUCCAUUUUCUUCUAAGGAGGCCGGCCACUAAGGGAAGGGACAUCUAGCAAUCUCUUUUUCCCUUAGUCAUCCAUUUCAUCUUCACAAGAUACAACCUUGGUGAAGAGACUUAGAGACAUCAAGCUUUUGGUGUUUUGGAGAACAAAUCCUUAUUUCCUCAAAUCUUCAAAGGAGCACUAAAGGGAGGAAAACACAAGGAGGAUUCAAGGAGCUUGGAGGUGACUUGAAGGCCCUCUACUUGGGUGAAUCCCUUGUGUAAUCAAGGAUGUGCUUCAAGGGUAAAGAAUCACUAAAUCUUUACUUAUCUUUAAUGUUGUUAAAGAGUUUAUUUUGGUUCACCAUAUACUAGGCUUUGAAAGUCAUGGGUUUUAUGAAUUGUUUUUGGAUGCAUGCCUACUUUAAAGUGUUAAUAGAUUGCAUGUGUAUUCAAAUGUUCAGACUUGUUCUUAGCUAGGACAAAAUUUUUCCUUCAAGUGGUAUCAGAGCCUAGGCCUAGUGUAUGGUGAAUCCUUUUGGGUUUUGUGAUGUUCAUAUUUUGUGAUUUAAAUGUUGUAAAUGUUACAAGCUUUGUUCUUGCUUUUGAAUAUAUAAAUUUUGCUAGAAAAUUUAGCAUCUCAAAUGUUGUAGAUGUAUUUCAUUGAAGCAUGAAUAUUGGAACUAAAAUUUGGUGCCAUGAGUUUUGGGAAAUUCGGCCAAAUCCUUAGGGUGACUUUUUGGGUUCAUGUUUGUCUUGUUAAAAUGGUUUUAAGGUGACUUUUGGAACCCCUAAGUACCCUAGGAUAUUAGCCCUCUUUUAAGAGGUGAAAAAUUGAGUUUUGGUGAAUGAAAACAUCCAUGGGGCUAUUAUGAGUUUUCAUGGUGUUCUUCAUUGUUCUUGGUGUUCUUGCCAAGAACAUAAAGUUUUGAAGUUUUGAUUCAAAAGUUUUAUGUUUUUCAUAAAGUUUUGGUAUAUUAUUGAUUUAUUAUUGAUGGGUGAUGUUUAUUGGUGAAGUAUUAUUGUUGGUUUUAAUGUUAGACAAAAAUCUCUUACAAACCUAUCCAAAUCAACUUUACCUCACCCACCAAAAUCAACUUGCAAAAACUUUUUAGAAUUUUUUCAAUUUUUCAUUAAAUGGCCGGCCACCCCUAGUGGGGGUACUUUUGGGGCCUUUUGUGCAAUUACAUAAAGUUUUAGAUAUUUUUGUGUAUUUGCAUUUUGGCCCAAAAGUUUACGUUUUUACGUUAAGGCCCUAAAACUCUAAAGGACAAAUUGUUUUGAUCCUUUAAUGAUGUUUUUACAUUAUUAAAAUUUUGGGAUCUAGUUGUAAUUACAUGAAGUUGUGGACUAUUGUGUCUUUACAAAGUGACCCCAAAAGUUUUUGUAUUUGCAUUAUGGCCCAAUUGUUGUGGUCAUAGUUUCCUAUUGGCCCAAAAGGAUGAGAACAAAAUUGUUUUGUCUCUUUAAUGAGAAUUGGAUUUUCAUUUCAUUUAGUUCCAUUUAAAUCAAUUCUAUGGAUCCAAAAACCAAUUGUUUAAAGUUGUUUUCUUAGUUAAUGUGAUUGAUUAAGAAAAGGGUGAUUAUGAACCAAAGGCCACGAUAAUUGAGCUAUGUGAUUGGCCGAUAUACAUUAUGAAUGUUUGGGUUUUAGUAGUAUAGAUUUGAAUGUAAUUUGAUUAAUUCAAGUUGUUGUAAAUGGACAUAAGUCCAUCCUUUGAUUUGUGUUGUAAAAGGGCAUAAGCCCUUCUUAUUAUUUCAUGUAUUCCUUUUGUUUAUAUGUAUGCAAAAUGGAAUAGUUGGGUCCAACGCCCAAUAGGAAAUAACGGUUUAAUUGGAUUAAACGCGUAACUAAAAUCAACAACUAUCUACCUUAAACCCAAGGUCCAACACAAGGCUCGUGUUGGAUCAAAUCAAUCGGUUCAUAAUCAUCCUAAAACCUAAUAUGACUACAUAGUCCAUAUGAGGAUGCAAUGCAUUCGUUAGUAGUUCCAUAUAGUCUCGCUUGUUUCAACGAAACAGUGGGAGUAUUAUAUGCUACUAAUUCAUAUUAACUUGGACCAAUAGUUGUGAUAGGCCCAAGUUCUUUUAAUAUGAUUAAAAUGAUUUUGAUGUAGCCCAAAACUACUCCCUCAAAAUGAAGAUUUAAGUUGAUAAGCGAGAGAUGUUUAGAAUAUCUCUUCGUAGGCCUUCCACCGUGGUGGGCUCCAAGCGUUUGUGACUCAUACACCGGCUUCACCCUAUCAUGGGGGAGUACAAAGUAUGUGCUUACAUCCAGGAGGAGUCCAUAAACAUAUGAUGAGAUUAGUGUAGGCAACGAGGGUAGCCGACAUCGUAUCAUCGUGAGGCUAUUCUUGAACCCCUUCACAAACUAAGCAUGGUGGGAAUAACUUAAACUAAGUGCAAUGGUGCCAACAUCGUAUCAUCAUGAGGCAACAUUCUCUAGAGGCCAAACGGAUGGGUAAUUACAAAAGUUGUAAAUGAAUAAUGCGUUAUUCUCUCAUCAUUAUUUUUGCUAGCCAAACAUCGUAUCAUCGUGAGGUGGGUUUGGUAAUGGUGAGUCUCCCAUAACCCGCUAAGAGUUCAAUAUAACUCUCGAAUU